GGAGGAAUAUUGGUCAAUGGGUCGCGAGACUGAACCAGCCAAGUAGCGUGCAGGAUGACGGCCCUCUGGGUUGUAAACUGCUUUUAGUUGGGAAUAAAAGGCGGUACGUGUACCGCGUAUUGUAUGUACCAUCAGAAAAAGGACCGGCUAAUUCCGUGCCAGCAGCCGCGGUAAUACGGAAGGUCCAGGCGUUAUCCGGAUUUAUUGGGUUUAAAGGGAGCGUAGGCGGAUUUUUAAGUCAGUUGUGAAAGUUUGAGGCUCAACCUUAAAAUUGCAGUUGAAACUGGAAGUCUUGAGUGCACGCAGAGGUGCCGGAAUUCAUGGUGUAGCGGUGAAAUGCUUAGAUAU
rnacentral:rRNA from 1 species